rnacentral:tRNA from 3 species
GUGCCCGUGGCGCAGCUGGAUAGCGCGUGUGACUCCGACUCACAAGGUCGCAGGUUCGAAUCCUGUCGGGCAUACCA